rnacentral:rRNA from 1 species
GCUUAGCCCUAAACUUAGAUAUUUAAAAUACAAAAAAUAUCCGCCAGAGAAUUACGAGCUAUAUAUGCUUAAAACUCUAAGGACUUGGCGGUACCUCAAACCCCCCUAGAGGAGCCUGUUCUAUAAUCGAUAAUCCACGAUUCACCUCACCAUCUCUUGCCAACUCCGCCUAUAUACCGCCGUAAAGCUUACCUUAUGAAAGACGAAAAGUAGGCAAAAUAAUCUAAACAUUAAUAAAUCAGGUCAAGGUGUAGCUUAUUGAGAUGGAAGAAAUGGGCUACAUUUUCUAUAUUAGAAAUUAACCACGGAAAGACACCUUGAAACAGGUUCUAAUAAGUAGGAUUUAGCAGUAAACUGGGAAGAGAGAGCCCAAUUAAAACCGGUUCUGAGGUGCGC